rnacentral:lncRNA from 1 species
GUGUUGUUCUUGACUUAGUCAUACCAGUGAUGUUGCAUAAUUCCUUGAUGAUUUUGGAUCCAAAGUUGGCACCUUGAUCGGAGUGAAUUCUUUCUGGCAAACCAUAGUGGACGACAAAGUUGUUGAAGAAUGCGUCUGCAGUUGUUUUUGCUGUCUGGUUUCUUGUUGGUAUUGCCAAUGCAUAUCGAGUGAAGUGGUCUGUUAUUACUAGUAUGUUCUCAAAUCCACCUGUAGAUCUUUCAAGUGAGAGAUAGUCCAUACAUACUAACUCAAGAGGUUGUGUUGUCUCGAUACUAAUGAGUGGUGCUCUGUGACUUGCAGGUUGCUUUCGUCGAAUACAUCUGUCGCAGUUCGAUAUCCAGUUGUCAACAUCUCGAUUCAUACCAAACCAAACAAAACGAUCUCUAACCAAUGAUACUGUUUUGUCUCUGCCUUGAUGUCCCAUCUCAUCAUGUAAUGCUGUUAAUACUUUGGAAAUGCAGACUUCAGGUAAUACCAUUUGUUUAUG